rnacentral:rRNA from 1 species
GCCUAGAUACAGUGUUCUGAAAGCACCAGAUCCCAUCUGAUCUUGGAAGCUAAGCAGAGUCAGGCUCUUUAAUACUUGAAAGAGAAGCCACCAGGGAAUACUAGAGGCUGUAGGGU